GCCUCAGUGUGGUAGUGGAUAUCCCUUGGGCUUGCGGAGCCCAAGACCCGGGUUCGACUCCCGGCUGGGGCG
rnacentral:tRNA from 1 species